AUGUCGUCGUCGCAGCCGCAGCAGCGCUACUACUGCCACCAGUGCGACCGCGCCGUCGCCAUCGCCGCCCCCGCCUCCCGCGACGACGAGGUCUUCUGCCCGCUCUGCGCCGGGGGGUUCGUCGAGGAGCUCCUCGACGACGAGGACCCCCCUCACCACAUGCCGCCGCAGUCCCCCUUCUUCCCCCUCGCCAGCUUCCUCGACCUCCGCAACCCCAGCGACCUCGCCGGGGUCCUCGGCCCGCCAUCCCCCUCCGCGCCCCGCGCCGCCUCCUCCGCCGCCAACCCAAACAACCAGUUCGACGUCACCGACUUCCUCCACGGCCACCUCGGCGGCCUCCUCUCGGGCGGCGCCACCAUCCAGAUCGUCCUCGAGGGCUCCUCCUUCCCCGCCGGCUUCGCCUCCUUCCAAGGGGGCCCCGUCCCCGGCGGGGUCAGCCUCGGCGACUACUUCAUGGGAUCCGGCCUCGAGCAGCUCAUCCAGCAGCUCGCCGAGAACGACCCCAGCCGCUACGGCACCCCGCCCGCCGCCAAGGCCGCCGUCGCCGCCCUCCCCGACGUCGCCGUCUCUGCCGACAUGAUGGCCGCCGACGGGGGCGCCCAGUGCGCCGUCUGUAUGGACGACUUCCUCCUCGGCGCCGCCGCCAAGCAGCUCCCCUGCAACCACGUCUUCCACAAGGACUGCAUCCUGCCGUGGCUCGACCUCCACAGCUCCUGCCCUGUCUGCCGCCACGAGCUGCCCACCGAUGACCCUGACUAUGAGAACCACCAGCGCCAGGCCGCUGCCCCUGCUGCUGCGGCGGCGCCUGCGUCCCCUGGCGGUGGCCCUUCGCCUAGGGUCAUGGAGAGGAGGUUCAGGAUCUCCCUGCCGUGGCCUCUCAGGGCUGCUUUUGGCGCGCAGCAGGCAGAGAGCAGUGACCAGGACGCUGCUGGCUCUGGUGACUACAACAACGAUCCGAAUGCGAGCGGUCGCUCGUAUGAUGAUCUCGACUGA
rnacentral:rRNA from 1 species